AGAGUUUGAUUCUGGCUCAGAACGAACGCUGGCGGCGUGCUUAACACAUGCAAGUCGAACGCGAACGUCUUCUUCGGAAGGCUAGUAGAGUGGCGCACGGGUGAGUAACGCGUAGAUAACCUACCCUUAUGUCUGGGAUAACCCACCGAAAGGUGGACUAAUACCGGAUAUGCUUGUUUUUCAUAAGUUUUACAAGCAAAGGUGGCCUCUGAUUUAAGCUACUGCAUAAGGAGGGGUCUGCGUACCAUUAGCUUGUUGGUGGGGUAAUGGCCUACCAAGGCUUCGAUGGUUAGCGGGUCUGAGAGGAUGAUCCGUCACACUGGCACUGAAACACGGGCCAGACUCCUACGGGAGGCAGCAGUGAGGAAUAUUGCGCAAUGGGGGAAACCCUGACGCAGCGACGCCGCGUGAGUGAGGAAGGCUUUCGGGUCGUAAAGCUCUGUCAAGAGGGAAGAAGUGCAUACUGGUUAAUAUCCAUUAUGUUUGACGGUACCUCUAAAGGAAGCACCGGCUAACUCCGUGCCAGCAGCCGCGGUAAUACGGAGGGUGCAAGCGUUGUUCGGAAUUACUGGGCGUAAAGGGCGCGCAGGCGGUUUGAUUAGUCAGAUGUGAAAGCCCACGGCUCAACCGUGGAAGUGCAUUUGAAACUGUCAGACUUGAGUAUCAGAGGGGAAAGUGGAAUUCCUGGUGUAGAGGUGAAAUUCGUAGAUAUCAGGAGGAAUACCGGUGGCGAAGGCGACUUUCUGGCUGAAUACUGACGCUGAGGCGCGAAAGCGUGGGGAGCAAACAGGAUUAGAUACCCUGGUAGUCCACGCCGUAAACGAUGUCAACUAGAUGUAGGGGGUGUUGAUCCCCUCUGUGUCGCAGCUAACGCAUUAAGUUGACCGCCUGGGGAGUACGGUCGCAAGAUUAAAACUCAAGAAAUUGACGGGGGCCCGCACAAGCGGUGGAGUAUGUGGUUUAAUUCGAUGCAACGCGAAGAACCUUACCUGGUCUUGACAUCCCGGGAAUCUUCUGGAAACAGAAGAGUGCCUUCAUUAGAAGGAACCUGGUGACAGGUGCUGCAUGGCUGUCGUCAGCUCGUGUCGUGAGAUGUUGGGUUAAGUCCCGCAACGAGCGCAACCCUUGCCUUUAGUUGCCAGCAGUUCGGCUGGGCACUCUAAAGGGACUGCCGGUGUUAAACCGGAGGAAGGUGGGGAUGACGUCA
rnacentral:rRNA from 1 species